GACGAACGCUGGCGGCGUGCCUAAUACAUGCAAGUAGAACGCUGAAGGAGGAGCUUGCUCUUCUGGAUGAGUUGCGAACGGGUGAGUAACGCGUAGGUAACCUGCCUGGUAGCGGGGGAUAACUAUUGGAAACGAUAGCUAAUACCGCAUAAAAUUGAUUAUUGCAUGAUAGUCAAUUAAAAGGUGCAAUUGCAUCACUACCAGAUGGACCUGCGUUGUAUUAGCUAGUUGGUGAGGUAACGGCUCACCAAGGCAACGAUACAUAGCCGACCUGAGAGGGUGAGCGGCCACACUGGGACUGAGACACGGCCCAGACUCCUACGGGAGGCAGCAGUAGGGAAUCUUCGGCAAUGGACGGAAGUCUGACCGAGCAACGCCGCGUGAGUGAAGAAGGUUUUCGGAUCGUAAAGCUCUGUUGUAAGAGAAGAACGAGUGUGAGAGUGGAAAGUUCACACUGUGACGGUAUCUUACCAGAAAGGGACGGCUAACUACGUG
rnacentral:rRNA from 1 species